rnacentral:rRNA from 1 species
UGCGUAGGCGGAAAAUUAAGUCAGUGGUGAAAUCCUGCAGCUUAACUGUAGAACUGUUAUUGAUACUGGUUUUCUUGAAUAUAGUUGAGGUAGGCGGAAUGUGUAAUGUAGCGGUGAAAUGCUUAGAUAUUACACAGAACACCGAUUGCGAAGGCAGCUUACUAAGCUAUGAUUGACGCUGAGGUACGAAAGCGUGGGGAGCGAACAGGAUUAGAUACCCUGGUAGUCC